CCUACGGGAGUCAGCAGUGGGGAAUAUUGCGCAAUGGGCGAAAGCCUGACGCAGCGAUGCCGCGUGAGGGAUGAAGGUCUUCGGAUCGUAAACCUCUGUUUGCACGGAAGAACGGUCACUGUGCUAAUCAGCAGUGAAUUGACGGUACCUGAAAAGGAAGCAACGGCUAACUCCGUGCCAGCAGCCGCGGUAAUACGGAGGGUGCGAGCGUUAAUCGGAAUUACUGGGCGUAAAGCGCUCGUAGGCGGUAUGUCAAGUCAAGGGUGAAAUCCCCGCGCUCAACGUGGGAACUGCCUUUGAUACUGGCAAACUAGAGUGUGUGAGCGGAUAGUGGAAUUGCAGGUGUAGGAGUGAAAUCCGUAGAUAUC
rnacentral:rRNA from 1 species